CCUACGGGAGGCAGCAGUGAGGAAUAUUGGUCAAUGGACGAGAGUCUGAACCAGCCAAGUAGCGUGAGGGAUGACUGCCCUAUGGGUUGUAAACUUCUUUUAUAUGGGAGUAAUACAGGGUAUGCAUGCCCUCUUGUAGGUUCCAUAUGAAUAAGGCUCGGCUAAAUCCGGGCCCGCAGCCGCGGGAAUACGGAGGAUCCGAGCGUUAUCCGGAUUUAUUGGGUUUAAAAGGAGCGGAGGUGGAUUGUUAAGUCAGUUGGGAAAGUUUGCGGCCCAACCGUAGAAUUGCCGUUGAAACUGGCAGUCUUGAGUACACUAGAGGUGGGCGGAAUGCGUGGUGUAGCGGUGAAAUGCUUAGAUAUCACGAAGAACUCCGAUUGCGAAGGCAGCUUACUAA
rnacentral:rRNA from 1 species